rnacentral:rRNA from 1 species
GAUGAACGCUGGCGGCGUGCCUAAUACAUGCAAGUCGAGCGAACAGAUGAGGAGCUUGCUCCUCUGACGUUAGCGGCGGACGGGUGAGUAACACGUGGAUAACCUCCCUAUAAGUCUGGGAUAACUUCGGGAAACCGGAGCUAAUACCGGAUAAUAUAUUGCACCACAUGGUUCAAUAGUGAAAGACGGUUUUGCUGUCACUUCUAGAUGGAUCCGCGCCGCAUUAGCUAGUUGGUAAGGUAACGGCUUACCAAGGCAACGAUGCGUAGCCGACCUGAGGGGGUGAACGGCCACACAGGAGCUGAGACACGAUCCAGGCACCGACGGGAGGCAGCAGUAGGUAAUCGUGCGCAAAGUGCGAAAGCCUGACGGAGCGACGGCGCGUGAGUGAAGAAGGGCUUCGGAUCGUAAAACGCUGUUAGGAGUGAAGAACGAAUGUGUAAGUAACGAUGCGCGUCUUGACGGUAUCGAAACAGAAAGCCACGGCUAACUACGU